GAGCUAAACAGACCAUAAAGUGAGCCCCUCUUGUUCCUCUGAAGUCCCUCAGUCUAGGAACUAUCCUUUAUUAAACUUGGGCCUGAACUGCAGCUGCAGCAAAAUCAGGAGCCGUCCCCCAGGUACCAGGAGGCCCUGUGUUCCUGGAGGUUUUCCUCUUGCAGCUUCUUCAGGCCUGCUUGCAAACCUAAGAAACCUCAGAUGAGGAAGCAGCCUGCUAAUGACUUUCUUCCAGUCCACCUGCGCAGAUGCUCGGAAGGACCAGAAUAACCCAUCAGUGAACUUUGGAUGUCACAGGCUAAAAAUCCACAUGUAACGCACAGAACCCUCCUCAAUGCGUACUGUGUCCCAUGAAGAGAUAGGAAAAACAGUCAUGCCCGCACAGAGGACUCUUGAAACUUCCCUUUACUCGUCCAAGAGGCAGUGCUUAGCUCCGACUCCCUCCUAUUCCCUACUCUCACGAUAAAUACCCUGCUCAAAAAGCUGAUGGGAGAGACAGAGCUGAGCUUUGCGUCCUGUCUCCUUGCUUGGCCUCCCUGUAAUAAAGGCUUUCAUCUCUACAAAAGACUGUUGUUUUGGUGUUUGGUCUUUCUGUUACGAGCCCACUUCCUCAAUUACAAGUGGGCCAGUGGGCGUGUGAACCCUGAUUCCAGGCCUGACCCUUAGCUCUGGACAGAUGGGGGCCUCUUGUCAGC
ensembl:lncRNA